AGAGUUUGAUCCUGGCUCAGAAUCAACGCUGGCGGCGUGCCUAACACAUGCAAGUCGAACGAGAAAGUGGAGCAAUCCAUGAGUAAAGUGGCGCACGGGUGAGUAACACGUGACUAACCUACCCUUGAGUGGGGGAUAACCUAGGGAAACCUGGGCUAAUACCGCAUAAUACCUACGGGUCAAAGGAGCAAUUCGCUUAAGGAGGGGGUCGCGGCCGAUUAGUUAGUUGGCGGGGUAAUGGCCCACCAAGACAGUGAUCGGUAUCCGGCCUGAGAGGGCGCACGGACACACUGGAACUGAAACACGGUCCAGACUCCUACGGGAGGCAGCAGUGGGGAAUUUUGCGCAAUGGGGGAAACCCUGACGCAGCAACGCCGCGUGGAGGAUGAAGUCUCUUGGGACGUAAACUCCUUUCGAUCGGGACGAUAAUGACGGUACCGAGAGAAGAAGCCCCGGCUAACUUCGUGCCAGCAGCCGCGGUAAUACGAGGGGGGCGAGCGUUGUUCGGAAUUAUUGGGCGUAAAGGGUGCGUAGGCGGUUCGGUAAGUCUUGUGUGAAAUCUUCGGGCUCAACUCGAAGUCUGCACUAGAAACUGCCGGGCUUGAGUGUGGGAGAGGUGAGUGGAAUUUCCGGUGCAGCGGUGAAAUGCGUAGAUAUCGGAAGGAACACCUGUGGCGAAAGCGGCUCACUGGACCACAACUGACGCUGAGGCACGAAAGCUAGGGGAGCAAACAGGAUUAGAUACCCUAGUAGUCC
rnacentral:rRNA from 1 species